UCAUAGUGAAGGAGAAGGGCAUCUUCACCAACGUGACGUCCCCGUCCGCCAAGGCCAAGCUGCGGCUCCUCUUCGAGGUGGCGCCGCUCGGCUUCUUGAUGGAGAAGGCCGGCGGGCACAGCAGCGACGGCAAGCAGUCGGUGCUGGACAAGGUGAUCAACGAGCUCGACGAGCGCACCCAGGUGGCCUACGGCUCCAAGAACGAGAUCAUCCGGUUCGAGGAGACCCUCUACGGCUCGUCCAGGCUCACCGCCGGCGCCACCGUCGGCGCCGCCGCAUAAGUUUUGCUGCGAUAUAGUAUGACAUAAUUAAAUGUGCAAGCCGUGUCACCAUUGAGAAUCCAGUUGGUGACCGACGCGGCGACACGUAUACAGAUGGCUUGCAGA
rnacentral:lncRNA from 1 species